AUACGGAGGAUGCAAGCGUUAUCCGGAUUUAUUGGGUUUAAAGGGUGCGUAGGCGGUUUGCUAAGCGGGAGGUGAAAUGCCGGCGCUCAACGUCGGAAGAGCCUCCCGAACUGGUGGACUUGAAUGACUCUGCCGUGGGAGGAAUGUGUAGUGUAGCGGUGAAAUGCUUAGAGAUUACACAGAACACCGAUUGCGAAGGCAUCUCACGAAGGGUUGAUUGACGCUGAGGCACGAAAGCGUGGGGAUCAAACAGGAUUAGAUACCCUGGUAGUCCACGCAGUAAACGAUGAUGGCUAACCGCUGGGCUUAUCAGUUCAGUGGCCAAGCGAAAGCGAUAAGCCAUCCACCUGGGGAGUACGACCGCAAGGUUGAAACUCAAAUUAAUUGGCGGGG
rnacentral:rRNA from 1 species